rnacentral:rRNA from 1 species
UGAACGCUGGCGGCGUGCCUAAUACAUGCAAGUCGAGCGAACAGACGAGGAGCUUGCUCCUCUGACGUUAGCGGCGGACGGGUGAGUAACACGUGGAUAACCUACCUAUAAGACUGGGAUAACUUCGGGAAACCGGAGCUAAUACCGGAUAAUAUAUUGAACCGCAUGGUUCAAUAGUGAAAGACGGUUUUGCUGUCACUUAUAGAUGGAUCCGCGCCGCAUUAGCUAGUUGGUAAGGUAACGGCUUACCAAGGCAACGAUGGGUAGCCGACCUGAGAGGGUGGUCGGCCACACUGGAACGUAGACACGGUCCAUACUCCUACGGGAGGCAGCAGUAGGGAAUCUUCCGCAAUGGGCGAAAGCCUGACGGAGCAGCGCCGCGUGAGUGAUGACGGUCUUCGGUUCGUAAAACUCUGUUAUUGGGGAAAAACAAAUGUGUACGUAACUAUGCACGUCUUGACGGUACCUAAUCAGAAAGCCACGGCUAACUACGUG